ACAGUCCCCCAGCCCACUUAAUGCAGACCUGCUGCAGGGAUUGCUGCCUUUAUGUUGGCUUUCAAGGUGAACCAGAAACAGUUCUCAUCUUUAGAGGAGAAGAAAAGGGGAAUUGAAGUUUGUACCUGGAGGAGUAUCUUCAGAAGUCUGCAAGAGGAGGAUUUGGCAGGAGGACGGUUCCAAAGGCAGCACCUCCAAGGGGAAGACACGCAAUCAUUGUGCUCCUUCAAACCAAGCUCAGCUCUGCCUUUCAAACCAAACUCCAGGACUGCCAUCUUCUAAUGUGUAAAACAGCAGUAACAAUUCUUACUGUCAAGGGGAGAGUGAGGUUCAUGGGACAGGAUUGUGGUCAUGGUGCACUGCACAGCAGCAGAGGACAACUUCCUGGAGAAGACUGAAAGCCAGGUUCCACUUUCUCCACCCUGUUGUUUUCAUCUCCUGGAAUUGUUUGUCUUGAGCAUCAGAGAUGGAGAGUAAAUUUUCGACACGCUGACAGCCCUCAUGGAACAUCUGCAUAACGAUGGAAUUUAUUUUGUUCAUUAUGACUGCCGAGGAUAGCAGAGGGCUUUAUUUCACUCCCACUGACUAUUUCUGUUUUCAUAAAUUAUCCAGCAUACUCCUCCUG